AUUACUUAUUAUGAUACUCUUGUUAUAUCACCCAUUUAGCAAAAAAUAUACUAUUUAACAUCUAUUUGGAAAUUAAAAGGAACAAAAAUGUGAGGCUGAAGUUGCUUAAGCUUUCCAUAAAGUAGCAGGUAAAUCUCCGCCAUUACAAGGUCCUGUAGUGAAGGAGAAAGUACUGCCUGAAUAGCCUUCGAAUGAUGUGCCAANUACCAAGGCAGCUGUGUUUUUAUGAAUGCCAGGGAAACAGGUGGGUUGUGCAAAAUACAAUACAGGCACUAAUGAAAACAGAAGAAUUCUUGUACUGCAGCUCCUGAUAUUAAGGCUGGUCUCAAGUGAAAAGUAAAUACAUGAAGACACAACUAUAUACAUUCCAGAAAAUAUGGUAGGUUGCAUGUAAGUUGGCAAAGGUCUAUAGUAUUAACUAUUCUCUGAUGUAAGCCAUGAUGUGUACUUGUAUUUUGUAGCCUAUAAAUAAGGCGUUUGUUUGCUGUAACAUACAGAGUGUAAAAAUCUGAAGAGAGAAAAGAAAAAGAGCAGAAUAAAUUUACUGUUAUUUAGUCUGAUGUAUUUUUCUAUCAGUUUUUUUAAUAUAGGUCAAUAUCAGUUUUAAUAUCCUUGUCGAGCACUUAGGACUUAAGUGCAGAUUAAUUGUAAGGGUGACAGAUUGAAUCAUAGUCUGCCUUUGUUUGUUGUGUUUUAAUAGUCCUCAUUUGUUUUAAUAGGGUGCACACACGUGAUUCCUACUAGAUAAUUCAUAGUGAAAUAAAUCUUAUGACUAUUUGAUAUUUCAAGUGGCUAAAUGGAGAGACAUAGCAACUGCAGAUGAUUACUUUAGCAUCUAAUGAAUAGAAUAGGAGGUGGAGAUCAUUAGUGAUUGUAGGCCUUGAAAUGCGACUCAACUAUCUGCUUAUGUAAUAUUAACGUUUUAAUUUGUCAUCCUAACCAUAUAAAUUGUAAUGUUGAAUGACUCAACUAUCUGCUUAUGUAAUAUUAACGUUUUAUAUUAGUUUGAUAUGGAGCUCAAUGCGGCUCAACUAUGUGCUUAUUAAAUGAUCAUGAACCAAGCUGAGCUUGUGCCAAGUCACUACAGAGAUGCACAUUGCACUGCAGUUUGAAAGAAGACGCAAAAUAUUUAAGUUUAAUUGAUCACCUGCUUGGUAGAUUAUUAUGAUUCUUUCCACCAACUUGCUGCAUUUGAUCCCUAAAAUCGAUGAUGAUGGAGUUGAUCUUUCUGGGCACCACUCUACAUCUGGAAUCAGUAUUUUCACGAUUAUUGUUCUCCAUGCUACACAACACUGCACAUCAGGCAUAUGUCUAUGAAAUUCCAGAUAAAUAAAUAGUACUUGACACAACUAUUUCUUAAGAUAUCAAUUCUCAUAUUUAUAUUUUAAAACUUAUCAAAAAUAGUAAAUUGUUAUAAAUCUUGUCAUGUAUUUGUUUAUUAAUAACGUGAAACUGAUUUUAGUUAGGCGUUUUAUGUGCAUAUAGCGAUCCAUUAUUUUUAAUAUAAGUGGAACUAAUCAAACACCCCAAAUUACUAGCAUAUUCCAUAUAAAAAUCAACUGCAUGCGCGUACCUACAUCCAUCAUAUUUAGUUUAUGCAUUAAAUUUCAAAUGGUCUCUUCACUAUACUCAUUUUAAUAUAUACUCAUUUUGCUUACUUUCAUCUAUUAUUUUACUUAUGUUCUUAAUUUCGAGGUCCCCCCAAUAUAAAUAUUUAGGGUUCUAACGGAAGCCCAAAAUUUUAAUGGGUAUACCUCGGAGAAGUUAUAUGGACUAAAUUACAUAUCCUGUAUUCUUAGAUUAAUAUAUUUCUAUACAUAUGCGUAAUGUCUAGUCUGGUGACAUCUUCGGUUUUAUGAUGUUACAGGUAUUCAUCUCUGACAUGGAUCGCAAUAAAUGAGGAAAUAUUGUUUCCCCUGGAAGUGGUAUUUCCAGAUGGAUAGUUGCACCCACGAGGAUCGACAACAUCUACAUCGAUUUCACCUGUUAUAAGAUACAACAAGUUGGUGGAAACCAUCACAACAAUCUAACAAAAAGGUGACCUUUAAACUUAAAAAUUUUGCUGUCUUUUCUCCAACUAUCAGCUAAUUGUGCAUCUGCAGUAACUUGGCGCGUGCUCACAUUGCUUCAUGAAAUUUAAGUAAUCAAAGCAAUGAGAAAGGACGUUGAGAAAAUAUGAAAAACAAUACAAUUGUGUGCAGGAAUACCUCGAGGGAACUUAAAAAAUGUGCUUAUAAGCAGGAAAGUGGAAAAUCUCUUGCGGAAGAAUCUAACAAAAAGGCAAAUGAAAGAAACAAAGGAGGUGGCUGUAAUUUGAGGUGAACUUUCUAUUUUUUAAUUAUCUUCUCCAUUUGGUACAAAGAGCUGGAAAAUGCUAAAGUGAAGGAAACAUAAAAGAUAUGUUAUACUUAUACACAUACCUGAUUACUUAUUAUGAUACUCUUGUUAUAUCACCCAUUUAGCAAAAAAUAUACUAUUUAACAUCUAUUUGGAAAUUAAAAGGAACAAAAAUGUGAGGCUGAAGUUGCUUAAGCUUUCCAUAAAGUAGCAGGUACCUGCAGCACAUUCAGGACAAUCUCCGCCAUCACAAGGUCCUGUAGUGAAGGAGAAAGUACUGCCUGAAUAGCCUGCGAAUGAGGUGCCAACUCUUCAAGGCACCACAACAUUUAAGAUUGUCAAUGUGGUUGAGGACUC
rnacentral:lncRNA from 1 species